AUUGAACGCUGGCGGCAGGCCUAACACAUGCAAGUCGAGCGGAUGAAGGGAGCUUGCUCCUGGAUUCAGCGGCGGACGGGUGAGUAAUGCCUAGGAAUCUGCCUGGUAGUGGGGGAUAACGUCCGGAAACGGGCGCUAAUACCGCAUACGUCCUGAGGGAGAAAGUGGGGGAUCUUCGGACCUCACGCUAUCAGAUGAGCCUAGGUCGGAUUAGCUAGUUGGUGGGGUAAAGGCCUACCAAGGCGACGAUCCGUAACUGGUCUGAGAGGAUGAUCAGUCACACUGAAACUGAGACACGGUCCAGACUCCUACGGGAGGCAGCAGUGGGGAAUAUUGGACAAUGGGCGAAAGCCUGAUCCAGCCAUGCCGCGUGUGUGAAGAAGGUCUUCGGAUUGUAAAGCACUUUAAGUUGGGGGGAAGGGCAGUAAGUUAAUACCUUGCUGUUUUGACGUUACCAACAGAAUAAGCACCGGCUAACUUCGUG
rnacentral:rRNA from 1 species